AGAUUGCGUCAGAGCCCCUGCAUCCCAGAUAGACUCUGACUUUUCAGGCGUCUGGGGCAGCCGAAAUAUCUCCGAGAGGCGACACAUUCAUCCGGAGAGCUACUGCUCUAACUAGAACUUCAGGGCAAAUGCUGGGGAAAUAGGUACAUCUUAGAGCUGCUGGGGGCAGUGGGAUUUUCUUGCUUUCAUGGGUUUGCGAGGGAGGCUUGGCCUAUUUGAUCCAAAGCCCUGUGGAGAGAGGUGAGGGAGGCGCAGCUUGAAGAGACAGCAAAAGCAUCCCAGGAGAGGGUGUGUAAAGGAAUCUGUCCUUCCUGAAAGGAGAAAAUGACCAAGUUCCAGGUGAGUUGGAGUUUCUCUUCUCUGAGAUUGGGAAUAUCCUAUCUUUGGGGGGAAGGACAUCAGCAUUAACUGAGUGUGUAUCUGGUGUCAGGUCCUGUCUUGGUUCUGUGUGUUUUUUUUACCUUGUCAGACUUCAGCGUGAGACAUAUGGUGUUUAUAAAUGUGAAUAUAGGAACAUGAAGAUACUAAGAGCAUAUAGCUAUCAAAUGAUGUCACCAGGGUCUGCACAAUCAGCUGACUUUAAAUUCUACCCCUGUUUUCACUGAACUACCCUGCUUCCUUGAGGUUGACUAACUCCUCAGAGGACUGGGCUAUGCUCCUUUAUUGAAAGACUUCACACAGCAUGUUUGGUCCAAUCUCUGGGAGCAUGCCUUUUCCUGCCAGACAUUUCACUCACAUUGAAAGUCAUCCAAAGCUAUUACAUGCUCAAUCCAGUGCUACGUUGUUUCAGGAAAGCAAAUAGAAUUAUAAACUGCAGUGCUUUUCUUCUAUGAGCAUGUGAUGUGUGUGGGAAAAAGUAUGCACAUUAACAAUAAUCAUUUAUUAAACUUGAGUUAAAGACAUGAGAAAAUUUGUUACAUAACAGCUCAGUAAUUACCAUGUCACUCCCAGAAAUCCUCCUCAGCCAGUCUGUGCAUCAGAAUUAUCUGUGGUGUUCUUUAAGAAUUAAAUGUUCCUAAGCAACAUUCCCCUAGACCUACUGAAAGGGGAAUUUCACUCCUUUUUUUUAAUCUCUUUGAUCUUUGUACAAUCCAAAGAUUUAUUGCAUUUAUUGUGAAGUAUUUCUCUGCAUACUUGACGUGAGCAUCACUAAGGUAGAUAGGAUGGGUUGCUCAUCUUUUGUGUUCUGCUUGUUUUGUUCCCUUUAUCAACGUAUCUACAUUUUAAUUGGUACAAUGAAUUGUUGAAUUACCAUGUAAGCUUUUUUAAAAAACUUGUCAUUUGUCUGCACAAAACCACUUCUAGAAAACUACCUCAAGA
rnacentral:lncRNA from 1 species